UGGGGAAUAUUGCACAAUGGGGGAAACCCUGAUGCAGCGACGCCGCGUGGAGGAAGAAGGUCUUCGGAUUGUAAACUCCUGUUGUUGGGGAAGAUAAUGACGGUACCCAACAAGGAAGUGACGGCUAACUACGUGCCAGCAGCCGCGGUAAAACGUAGGUCACAAGCGUUGUCCGGAAUUACUGGGUGUAAAGGGAGCGCAGGCGGGAAGACAAGUUGGAAGUGAAAUCUAUGGGCUCAACCCAUAAACUGCUUUCAAAACUGUUUUUCUUGAGUAGUGCAGAGGUAGGCGGAAUUCCCGGUGUAGCGGUGGAAUGCGUAGAUAUCGGGAGGAACACCAGUGGCGAAGGCGGCCUACUGGGCACCAACUGACGCUGAGGCUCGAAAGUGUGGGUAGCAAACAGGAUUAGAUACCCUGGUAGUCCACGCUGUAAACGAUGAAUACUAGGUGUGCGGGGACUGACCCCCUGCGUGCCGCAGCUAACGCAAUAAGUAUUCCACCUGGGGAGUACGAUCGCAAGGUUGAAACUCAAAGGAAUUGACGGGGGCCCGCACAAGCAGUGGAGUAUGUGGUUUAAUUCGACGCAACGCGAAGAACCUUACCAAGUCUUGACAUCCCUUGACGAACAUAGAAAUAUGUUUUCUCUUCGGAGCAAGGAGACAGGUGGUGCAUGGUUGUCGUCAGCUCGUGUCGUGAGAUGUUGGGUUAAGUCCCGCAACGAGCGCAACCCUUAUGGUCAGUUACUACGCAAGAGGACUCUGGCCAGACUGCCGUUGACAAAACGGAGGAAGGUGGGGAUGACGUCAAAUCAUCAUGCCCUUUAUGACUUGGGCUACACACGUACUACAAUGGCGUUAAACAAAGAGAAGCAAGACCGCGAGGUGGAGCAAAACUCAGAAACAACGUCCCAGUUCGGACUGCAGGCUGCAACUCGCCUGCACGAAGUCGGAAUUGCUAGUAAUCGCAGAUCAGCAUGCUGCGGUGAAUACGUUCCC
rnacentral:rRNA from 1 species